ACAAAAGGGGUGUUUUUGUAAUUUGACCAUACCUCAUGGAGUGUUUGUAAUUUACCCUAAUAUAUAUAUAUGAGAAAUAUGCAAUAUUUGUUUGUUUAUAUAUUUAAUAUAUAAACAAACAGAAAACCGAAGUACCCAAAUCCCAGUAUCCCAAUUUAAAUUAGUGAGACUCCCCCAUACCAGCCAUGAUAAGAAUAAAGUGCCCCUAUAUGUUAGAUUUUUAUCAUAAUACAAUUUUAUUUCUCACUCCUGAGUAUCUCUCCCUCUCUCUUUCAUUCUAGCGCUUUCUCUCUCUCGUUCACAGUUUUUUUUUUUCCUUCUUCAGAUCUGUAGACCGCCGCUGCCUGAGCCAAUAAUACCCUUCAAACGUCGCUAGCUGAAACCCGUUGCAGGAGACUCUCCUCCGCAGAUGUUGGAGAUCGUCUCCCCCCUCGUCCAACACUACCACAUCGAUGCCUGGUACAAUUGGCGGCGGCGCCUCCCCACCUUGUCGCCGCCUCCGUCAGGUGCGUCAGAACUUUUAUAAUUGUUCCCAAUGGCAAUGUAAGAAAGCUAACUAAAACAUUGGCGAAACUGCUUUCGAUUUCUGCGAAGAGUACUUCGGUUUUCUGUUUGUUUAUCAUUACUUUCAAGGUGAAUUCAACUUCAUUUGU
rnacentral:lncRNA from 1 species